AAACCAACAGGGAUUGCCUCAGUAACGGCGAGUGAAGCGGCAAAAGCUCAAAUUUGAAAUCUGGUUGUCUCUGGCAGCCCGAGUUGUAAUUUGAAGAACGGUCCUUGGAGAGGCGCCUUGUCUAUGUUCCUUGGAACAGGACGUCGCAGAGGGUGAGAAUCCCGUUUGGCGAGGUGUGCUGAUCCGUGUAAGGGCUGUUCGACGAGUCGAGUUGUUUGGGAAUGCAGCUCUAAGUGGGUGGUAAAUUCCAUCUAAAGCUAAAUAUUGGCGAGAGACCGAUAGCGAACAAGUACAGUGAUGGAAAGAUGAAAAGAACUUUGAAAAGAGAGUGAAAAAGUACGUGAAAUUGUUGAAAGGGAAGGUUAUUAGAUCAGACUUAGGGUGGAGUUAUACUUGUCCCCUUGUGGGGCAUUCACUAGCUCCAUGUCUAGGCCAGCAUCGAUUGUUUGUGGCCGGAAAAGGGGCGGAGGAAUGUGGCUGUGCCCUUAGCUGGUGCAGUGUUUAUAGCCUCUGCCUUAUGCGGCCUAGCUCGAUCGAGGACUGCGGCUGUCUAACAGCCUAGGAUGCUGGCGUAAUGAUCUAAUAUCGC
rnacentral:rRNA from 1 species